GCGGAUCGAAGUGGCUUUGGAAAUGACGGAGAUCCAGAAAGCUAAAGGCAAAGGGACUGGACUUAAAUGGUGCUGUCUCUUUUAGAAAGUUCCUUCCCACAAGGGUAACAGUUAACAGUUCUGAUGCCACUCUACCUCUAGUGUGGAAUUGCACAAUGAAUUAAAUACCUGGCAGAUGGGCAUGAGCCUGGUUUCUCACUGCUGGAGUGAGAAGUUACAGAUGAGAAGAGAAGCUAGAAUGAGCCACACGCUAAUGGGUUAGUGCUGAAGACAUCAGUGUGACUCAUGCUUACCUUAAUUUAGACACACGUUCCAUGAGUCUGUGUCCACGUGAGAAUACACACAUUUCCUUGUACUGUGAGCCGACAGCACUGAGAAGCAAGGCUUCCCUUGUUAGGAUGGCUAUUAUCAAAAGGACAGGAGAUAACGAUGGUGGAGAAAAGUGAACCCUUGUACACUGCUCUUGGGAAUGUAAUGUUUCUCAAACAAGUAAAAACAGAACUACCAUAUGAUCCAGCAAUCCCACUUCUUGGAAGAUACCCAAAGGAAAUGAAAUCAGUAUCGUGAAGGAAUAUCUGCAUUACAUGUUUAGUGCAGCAUUAUUCACAAGAACCAAGAUAUGGAAACGACCAAGUGUCUGUCAACAGGGUUGUGAGUUGCGCUGGAUAGUAUGAAAUGUGUUAUCAGUGGACGCACAACUGUUGACCUCAGAGCAUGUGACCAGACAGUGCAGGAGGAGAUGUUGUUAAGUUACUUUGGAUGGAAAAUGUCCCUCGGUGACCUUGUGGGCCUGAUCCAAGGUGAAAGGUGUUUCUGGAAGAGAUUAACAUUUGAACCAGUGGACGGAGUAAGAAGAUCUCCCUCACCAGCAUGGGCGGGCCUCAUCCCAUCCACAAGGGCCGCUCGGAGCAAGACAGCAGAAGAAGAGCAGACUCUCUUUCCUUGAGGACUGGAGUCUCCCUCCCCAGCCCACCCUCACCUUGUCCUCAGGCCUUUGGCCUCAUGCUGAAUGACACUGUUGGCUUCCCUGGGCCUCACACCUUCAGACUCAGCCUGAAUUAUGCCACCGGCGUUCCUGGGUCUCCAGCUUGCAGAUGGCAGAUUGUGAGACUUCUCAGCUUCUAUAAUGGUGUGAGCCAGUUCCCAUAAUAAAUCUCCUCUUAUCUAUA